rnacentral:rRNA from 1 species
GACGAACCGUGCGAACGUUGUUCGGAAUCACUGGGCUUAAAGGGCGCGUAGGCGGGUGUCUAAGUCCAUGGUGAAAUCCUCCAGCCCAACUGGAGAACGGCCGUGGAUACUGGGCACCUCGAGGGGGGUAGGGGCGUGCGGAACAGAUGGUGGAGCGGUGAAAUGCGUUGAUAUCAUCUGGAACUCCGGUGGCGAAGGCGGCACGCUGGACCCCUUCUGACGCUGAGGCGCGAAAGCCAGGGGAGCGAACGGG